UAGGGAAUAUUAGUAAUGGGCGAAAGCCUGAACUAGCAACGCCGCGUGUGCGAAGAAGGCCUUCGGGUUGUAAAGCACUUUUUGAGAGGAUGAGGAAGGACGGUACUCUCAGAAUAAGUCUCGGCUAACUACGUGCCAGCAGCCGCGGUAACACGUAGGAGGCGAACGUUAUCCGGAUUUACUGGGCGUAAAGCGCGUGUAGGUGGUUUGGUAAGUAGGGCGUGAAAGCUCCUGGCUCAACUGGGAGAGGCCGUUCUAAACUGCCGAACUAGAGGAUGGUAGAGGGGGGUGGAAUUCCGGGUGUAGCGGUGGAAUGCGCAGAUAUCCGGAGGAACACCAGUGGCGAAAGCGGCCUCCUGGACCAUUCCUGACACUCAGACGCGAAAG
rnacentral:rRNA from 1 species